UACACUGCUCGCCCCACCAUUCGCCGCCGGAGGCGCCCGAGCUAUGACGAGCGUGCUCGAGCGACGCCGAGGUCGAGCGAGCAACGCGCAUGGCGAAGCCACCAGUCACCUGUCGUCUCUUCUCCUUCUUGUAGAUCGCUUAGUGCAGUACAUCGUGAAACGCUACCAAUUUUAUACAUCACACUCCCAAGCGUCGCGUCGUGCAGAUAAAACUACAUGGCCGAUUUUUGUGUUCUCUAACCUUAACCCGAUGUAAGAAUUUGUGCUCCUGGUGAUAUGUUGCUUCAUGUUCGAACUACGGACUCAAGAAACCUUUCAUGUUCGUGUAUCUACGUUGAACAUUAAUAUCCCGUGAUCGAUUAGAUUUCAAAAUGUCAAACUUUUGCUAAGAGUAAUUGAACGUUUGACGUUUAACUCAUGACGCAUAUUUACGGUCUCUGUUAUGAAUCAGCUGAUAGUGCAAGAGUGCCGUUUGUCAAAAGAUGAAUCUUUCAUAACUAGUUGAUCAUUAUCAUAAAACAAUGUGUUUACGAAGAUAAAAUACGAUAUUGAUAAAAUUGUAAUAGACAUCGAUUGUGCUUUGUAAAUUUUAAUCAUUACGUUUAAUAAAAUAUUUGGAAAUAAUGAUUUGCAAUUAAUUGGUUGAAACUUAUGCAACGGAAUCACAUGGCGUACGGCCAUUACGAGAAAUCAGUUUGUGCGAAUUAUACACACGUCAUUAAUCGCUGGAAAUCCUUUUCUGCCAGGCCGAUCAAUGACUAUAAAAACUAUAUUACGUGAAUUUUUACCUUAAUUUAUAAACAUUGUUUGAUAUGACUGAACAAACGGCAAUACGAUGGAGCUGAGAAAUAGAUCCGCUAAUUCAUCCGUUAACUGGGUUUCGAAUCGAGAUGGGUUCUCUGUAAAAAUUGUAUGAUCAUACAUCUAUCCAAUAUUUAUACGUUAUCACGCUUCUUUAAAUAUAUCUUUGAGAAAGAACAGAAUCUUACCGAUGUUCUAGCACUAAUUAGUGAUCGUAUGACGGAAGAAAUAACACUUUUAUCACACUCGGAAUUAUAAUUGACAUGGCGCGGUCAACGAACCGAAUCGAAAAUUGCACUGCGCAGCCAAACUUAAAAUUGGAGGGAAAACUGUUCUGACGAUAGCGCCACUAACCACCUUCGCUAUCUAGUUAUAGAUGUAGGAACUACGAUGAUUUUUCUCUUGUGCCCAAAAUCACGUAUGCAAAUUUUUCGACGUUGAGAUUAUCUUGGACUAAUUGGACUUUAAAAUUCAGUGCCCUUUUCGUUCUGUGUUAUUCGGUUCGAAAAUUCAUAUCUCUCGUAAUAACCGUUCUACACAUCUUUAAUCGUAUUUACGAAUUUUAUUCGAGCUUGUGCAUAGUGUAAGAAAGUAUUCGAAAUUGCGACCGCUUGUGAAUCAGGUUAUGAUUAACGUUGCAACUCAAACUGGCAAAACGAACUUGACAAGCUUUGCUAUUUAAGCAAUAUAGGGAGAUACGCAGAAUUCUUUCCAGAUAUUAAACAUGUACAUUAUCGCAUACGUUUAAACGACCAAUCGUUUAUCAAUUUUAUAUCCAGUUUUAUGCUCGUAAUUAUCUAAACUGG
rnacentral:misc_RNA from 1 species